GAGUGAAGCGGCAACAGCUCAAAUUUGAAAUCUGGCCCCCAGGGCCCGAGUUGUAAUUUGCAGAGGAUGCUUUUGGCGCGGUGCCUUCCGAGUUCCCUGGAACGGGACGCCAUAGAGGGUGAGAGCCCCGUCUGGUCGGACGCCUAGCCUGUGUAAAGCUCCUUCGACGAGUCGAGUAGUUUGGGAAUGCUGCUCUAAAUGGGAGGUAUAUGUCUUCUAAAGCUAAAUACCGGCCAGAGACCGAUAGCGCACAAGUAGAGUGAUCGAAAGAUGAAAAGCACUUUGAAAAGAGGGUUAAAUAGUACGUGAAAUUGUUGAAAGGGAAGCGCUUGUGACCAGACUUGGGCCCGGUGGAUCAUCCAGCGUUCUCGCUGGUGCACUCCGCCGGGUUCAGGCCAGCAUCAGUUCGCCGCGGGGGAAAAAGGCUUCGGGAACGUGGCUCCUACGGGAGUGUUAUAGCCCGUUGCAUAAUACCCUGGGGCGGACUGAG
rnacentral:rRNA from 1 species